GCGCAAAAACUAUUAGCUACGCGUGAAAAUCAGCGCCAUUCAAUACAAAAACUCUGCACUCAUAACUGAAGACAGUGCAACGCGAAACCUAAACCCCUCCAGCAAUACAGUGCAAAAACAAAGAAAAAUAUUGACACUCUCUGCUUUAUACUUUUCUCCGGCUAGUAGG